rnacentral:pre_miRNA from 1 species
UGUGCAGACGAGGUUUCCAUGGUUACCGCUGUCAGCUGCCCAUGGCAACUCUGUCUGCACCAGG